rnacentral:rRNA from 1 species
UGAGUACAAAAGACAAACAAUCAAAACUUUCAACAACGGAUCUCUUGGCUGUGGCAUCGAUGAAGAACGCAGCGAAAUGCGAUAACUAAUGUGAAUUGCAGAAUUCAGUGAAUCAUCGAGUCUUUGAACGCACAUUGCGCCCGCUGGUAUUCCGGCGGGCAUGCCUGUCCGAGCGUCAUUUCGUCCCUCAAGCCCCCGCGCUUGGUGUUGGGCACCCCGCGGCCUCUGGCGUCGCGGGCGCCCCAAAUGCAUCGGCGGUCCCGCCUGGCGGCUCCCUGCGUAGUAGAACCUCUUCUCGCAUCGGGUCCCGGGCGCGGCCGGCCGCUAAACCCCCCCCAAUCGUACCAACGGU